UAUAAAAAUAAGGCGCUCAGAGCAACAGUUGCCUAACCCCAAAAAGAAGUUUUGAUAUAAAUGCAAUCUUUGCAUUCGUAUUUCCAUUAUGCUUAUGGGAUGGCGCUCCAAAUUAUGUAGCACCAUUUAACCAAAUAUAGAGGUAGGUUAUGUAGACCCUUAGUAAUCCAAAGAUUUAUUGUUGCUGCUUUUAUUGAUAUAUUAAUCUAAAAAUGCUCAAUUUGUGGCUUAUGCCACUGUUGCUCUGAGCGCCUCUAAUACUUUAAAGUCUUCUCUAGGUUCUCAAGUAUUCUCCAGGUUCUCAAGUCUAGCAAAAUUUAAGCAUCUUCUGCCACUUCAUUCUCCCAUCUUUUCUAAAGCCUUCUGACAUCGUCUGUCGCCUCAAAUCUAACCAGAUGGUGGUGUGCUUGCACCCGUACCACAAUAAAAUGCCUUCAUUCCUCUCUGUAUUAAGCAAUCCCUAUCCAAUUCUCCAUACCCAUAGCUUUAAAGUCUCCUGCUACAUUUGCUCUCCACCGGAGUCGAGGUCUUAAGGUGUCCUGCCAUUUGGAGUCUUCUGGACUUCUAUUCACUGGAUUUCUUUUAUUAUGUUAGCGUCUGGAUAUAGGUAGUUCUUUAAACUCUUUGCUAGUUCCUAACCUAUAUUAUAAAAUACCACUAUUUAUAGAACACUUUUUUCUACAACCACUAUUCAAAAUGCAUUUUUCUGCACAGUUUUAUGUUAGCAAACUUGAUAUUUUCUCACAGUAUAAGAUAUUUGACAUUCGUGUGCAGAAAAGUAUGUCUAUUAAGCCAGAUCAUCCAUUUCAUAAGUCCAUAUUUGGAAUAGUUUCAUAUUUUUUUGCUAAUUUUUUGCUAAUUUAUUACCACAAAAACAAAUUUUUUGCUCCACCCCUAACCGAGAAACAAUGGUUGAUGUAGCUUAAUAUUAUGUCACAUCAUCGAUAGCCAUAUCUCGCGAACCUAAAGAGCUAGAAAAUCGUACGACGCGGCAUAUUUUUUUGCUAAUUUAUUGCUGUCGAUCUGCAUAUGCAACAUACCCCAAAACCACCCCUGCUUCCCUUACAGCUAAACAACACCCCCAAAAAACAACGAAAAAUCUUGAAAAAUGAUUUUUGUGAUAUAGUUGACGGUUGAUAUUUAAUUUCUAAUUUUUUGCUGUCAUUAGCCGUAAAAAACAAAUUUUUUGCUCCACCCCUAACCGAGAAACAAUGGUUGAUGUAGCUUAAUAUUAUGUCACAUCAUCGAUAGCCAUAUCUUACGAACCAAAAGAGGUAGAAAAUUGUACGACGCUGCAUAUCGUUUUGCGAUUUUAUUGCAACAUACCCCAAAACGUCGCCUGCUACCCUUACACCUGAAGAGCACUUUUAAUAAAUAAUUAAAAAUCCUAAAUUUUUGCCGUCUUAAAUCGUUUGCAUUUUUCGUAUCUGUAAACUUCGUUUUUCUUGGAUCAAAAUACGGCUGUGGACUUAAUCUUAUAAAUCGAUAGAACUUAUCAUAGAAAAAAAUUUGUUAUUGAACAUCAACUGUCAACCAUAUCAUAAGAAUCAUUUUUUAGGAUUUUUCGAUGUUUUUUUGGGGGUGUUGUUUAGCUGUAAGGGAAGCAGGGGUGGUUUUGGGGUAUGUUGCAUAUGCAGAUCGACAGCAAUAAAUUAGCAAAAAAAUAUGCCGCGUCGUACGAUUUUCUAGCUCUUUAGGUUCGCGAGAUAUGGCUGUCGAUGAUGUGACAUAAUAUUAAGCUACAUCAACCAUUGUUUCUCGGUUAGGGGUGGAGCAAAAAAUUUGUUUUUGUGGUAAUAAAUUAGCAAAAAAUUAGCAAAAAAAUAUGAAACUAUUCCAAAUAUGGACUUAUGAAAUGGAUGAUCUGGCUUAAUAGACAUCAGAAAAGUGACAUUUCUGUACCGGAAAGUUCUUUUUUCUACAACCACUAUGCAAAGUGCACUUUUCUGCACGGUUUUAUGUUAGCAAACUUGAUAUUUUCUCACAGUAUAAGAUAUUUGAUAUUACUGUGCAGAAAAGUGACGUUUCUGUGCCGCAAAGUGACGUUUCUGUGCCGCAAAGUUCUUUUCUGCACAGUUGACUACCUCAUUCUGAGUAACGUUAUAUUCUGUUUACAUCCGUGGACUACCGCAUUCUGAGUAACGUUAUAUUCUGUUUACAUCCAUGGUUAAACUUUAGACAAAUAUAUAACCUAUAAGACAAUUAUUAUAUUUAACUAUAGCAUAGAAACUAAAUUAUGUAUGUUACAACUGUUUUAUUUUACAAUUUUAUUCUUAUUAAACAUUUUAUAAUUAUCAAAUAACCAAUAAGGAUUUAGCAACCUGUGCAAGAUACGUCGAAUGAAGUAGGUUUUGUGUAAAUCCGUGACUGCAUAAAUAUAAUGUCAAUAAUGUGUAAUAAUUGUUUAAAUUUAAACAAAUUAAGGCAGUGCAUUAAUUUUUUAACUGAUUUUUGUGCAAUUUAUUUAGGUAUAAGGAAUUUAAAUUGAUUAGUAGGUAUUAAUUAAAUACAGUUUAAAAUUUAUCACAUAGGUACCUAUUAUAAUUAAUCGUCGUUUGGACAUUGUGAUUUUUAUUUUUAGGAAAAACUGUGCUUGUAGAAAAAGUAUAGUGUGAAACACGUGCAGAAAGGUAAUUUCUCACUCGUUUGAAUUGCGGCACUCGCUUGCGCUCGUACCGCAACUUUUCAAACUCGUGAGAAAUUAGUACCUUUCUGCACUUGUUGCACAAUAUACUAUUCUGCACAGUUGACUACCUCAUUCUGAGUAACGUCAUAUUCUGUUUACAUCCGUGGUUAAAGUUUAGACAAAUAUUUAACCUAUAAGACAAUUAUUAUAUUUAACUAUAAAAUAGAAAUUAAAUUAUGGAUGUUACAACUGUUUUAUUUUACAAUUUUAUUCUUAAUAAACAUUUUAUAAUUAUCAAUUAGCCAAUAAAGAUUUAGCAACCUCAACAAGAUACGUCGAAUGAAGUAGGUUUGGUGGAACUCCGUGACUGCAUAAAUAUAACGUCAAAUGUGACAUUAUUUUGUAAUAAUUAUUUAAAAUAGUUUAUAUAAUUCAAACAAGUUAAGGCAGUUCAUUAAUAAUUUAACUGAUUUCUGUGUAAUUUGUUUUGGUAUAAUGAAUUUAAAUUGAUUAGUAUUAAUUAAAUACAGUUUAAAAUUUAUAAUUUAUUAUUAUAAUAAACCUUCGUUUGGAAA